rnacentral:lncRNA from 1 species
UCACCUCCUUGGCUCGUAUCAUUCUCCCCCUCUUCAAGAAGAUUCGUCCUCGAAUCUGAACCUACAUCAAAUUCAAAAGGAGAAAGAUCAAAAACAUUGAAAGUAGCACUAACACUAUACUCACCAGGAAGAUCAAUGCGAUAAGCAUUGUCAUUUAUUUUCUCGAGUACUUGGAAUGGUCCAUCUCCUCGUGCAUCAAGUUUAUUCUUUCUCUUAGA